ACCGCUCAGUAACACGUAGUCAACCUAACCUAUGGACGGGAAUAACCUCGGGAAACUGAGAAUAAUGCCCGAUAGAACACUAUACCUGGAAUGGUUUGUGUUCCAAAUGAUUUAUCGCCAUAGGAUGGGAUUGCGGCCUAUCAGUUUGUUGGUGAGGUAAUGGCCCACCAAGACUAUUACAGGUACGGGCUCUGAGAGGAGUAGCCCGGAGAUGGGUACUGAGACACGGACCCAGGCCCUAUGGGGCGCAGCAGGCGAGAAAACUUUGCAAUGUGCGAAAGCACGACAAGGUUAAUCCGAGUGAUUUGUGCUAAACGAAUCUUUUGUUAGUCCUAGAAACACUAACGAAUAAGGGGUGGGCAAGUUCUGGUGUCAGCCGCCGCGGUAAAACCAGCACCUCAAGUGGUCAGGAUGAUUAUUGGGCCUAAAGCAUCCGUAGCCGGCUCUGUAAGUUUUCGGUUAAAUCUGUACGCUUAACGUACAGGCUGCCGGGAAUACUGCAAAGCUAGGGAGUGGGAGAGGUAGACGGUACUCGGUAGGAAGUGGUAAAAUGCUUUGAUCUAUCGAUGACCACCUGUGGCGAAGGCGGUCUACCAGAACACGUCCGACGGUGAGGGAUGAAAGCUGGGGGAGCAAACCGGAUUAGAUACCCGGGUAGUCCCAGCUGUAAACUAUGCAAGCUCAGUGAUGCAUUGGCUUGUGGCCAAUGCAGUGCUGCAGGGAAGCCGUUAAGUUUGCCGCCUGGGAAGUACGUACGCAAGUAUGAAACUUAAAGGAAUUGGCGGGGGAGCACCACAAGGGGUGAAGCCUGCGGUUCAAUUGGACUCAACGCCGGU
rnacentral:rRNA from 1 species